CGAACGGGUGAGUAAUGCAUAAGAAUCAACCCUUUAGUGGAGGAUACACUGGAGAAAUCGAGUAUAAUCCUGCAUACGUCCCCUCGGGGAGAAAGAUGGCCUCUUGCUAUCGCUAAAGGACGAGCUUAUGUGCUAUCAGCUAGUUGGUGAGGUAAAGGCUCACCAAGGCAAUGACGGCUAGCCGGCCUGAGAGGGUGUACGGCCACAUUGGAACUUAGACACGGUCCAG
rnacentral:rRNA from 1 species